CCUAAGAACUAAAAAAAAAACGACAUUGCUCUCUCCUCCCUGCACCCAACGUCUCUCACAGCUCCUGCAACCAUCUCCGCACAGGUGACCGGCGAAACCACCGGCUAUCUCCUCCUUCUCGGGUGACCGACGAAGCCACCGGCUAAACCACACUCACACAAUCACACCCUCUCUCCUCCUUCUCAGGCGACAACAGAAAUUCAGAACGCCGGUGAAGGGAGAUCGAAUUUGUAGGCAAUCAAUGUAAAAUUUGACAAGAUGUCUCAUCAAAAUUUUGAGCUUCUUUCCACUCUCCUCAACGAGAUUUCUUUGCUAUAAUGGACAGAUGAUCUGGAGGCCUUUGUUUUGAAAGGAUAUGGAAAUUCUGUGAACUACUGCAUGGGAUUGCCUUUGCUUAAAGAUGUAGUCGAGUCCAUGGAGCUUGCUAUCAAGGCUAACGAAGAUCACAAAAUCUAGACAUUCCAGCAUGUAUGGAAAGUUCACAAAGGGGUAUGCGGAUCUAACUAGGAUCAAUCCAGCUUCUUCUUUUGCUAAAAGUAUCUCAGGCAUAUCCAGGCGCAGCUCAACUUCUCACCAGGAUAGCUCUGCAUCUUUUCCUAGACUCAAUUUGUUCGUCCAGCAGUAGACAUUAUGCACCAGGAUUGAACGUGGUCUGGAGCAACAAGUCGUUCUUCCUAGAGACUCUUAUCUUCAGGUCUAUUUUUAAUUAUUUAUGCCUAGUAUUUUCUGAAAAUAAUAUACUUGGAACAAAUGGCCAUGUCACAGGUUUACAAUCUCUGAAAGCUUUUCUGGUGCUUUUUCUUUUAUCAGGGAUAUUUUAAAAAUAUUUCAGACGUCCUCAGAAUUGGACCACCAGUAUAUUUUGUGGUGAAGGACUACAAUUAUAGGUGCAUGAAGGAAGCGUUAUCUAGCGCUCAUAGUUCUAUUUUCUUUGGUGUUAUGAUGAUCUGGUGUUACUCAUUUAAAAGCUAAUUCAUAAGUUUGUUCGUCUUGAUUUUCCUUACAUUCGCUUUACUAUUAGUGUUGUUUAGUGCUCUGCUAGUUUCCUUCAAAACAAUGAUUAAGCACUUCAUUUUGAUCCUUCUACGAGUCAGUCUAAAUCUGUAUCCUUCUAUGAGUCAGCAGUGAGCUCUGGGAAUUGUGUGCGUGCACAUAAUUCCCAGGUCUCUGCGGGCACACAGCUGUAAUCUCUGUGCAUGCACACAAUUCCCAGAGCUUACUGCAUGAUUUUUGUAGAUUUUUGCGCCCCUACAGGCAGGCUGUGCGCGCGCACAGACCUGUACCUCUGCUAUGUUGUUGUUCUGUUUGUUGUUGCUGAUCUGCUCGUGGCUUGGUGUUAUUUGCUUGCUUCGUGUGGGGCUGUUGCUGCAGUUUGCUUGCUCGCAUGACAGUGGCUUCAUGAACGACGACAGUAAAUGAUUUAGCAAUGACUGUAUACGGAAGUGAUGUGACAGGUUACACGGAGCCGCUGCUGUUAUCAACGCUCAUGUAUGUAGUUGCUGCUGUAAGGCUGCAAUGUUGUUGAGCUGCUGUAGGUUGUUCGUUGCAGUGGCCUUGGUUUUUGUAUGUGCUCAUGAAAUCUUGGUCUUUAGCUGAAAAUUUUAUUUUAAAAACUUUGACUCGUAAAGACCAUGUAUUUGUAGUUAGUUUGAAUUUGCUUCCCUUUUAACUUUCAGUCUAUCUUUUUAUGAUAUUAUUAUAGAUGAUGUUGACACCCGUGCUAUCACCCGUAUAUUGAGGGAAGAUGGGGGUCUUAUUGGUGUGCUGAGCACAUAAGAAACAAAAUCAUACAACCAACGACUCUUAUAAAUGGCUCGUUCUAGGACAUUAUUGGUGUUGGUUUGAUAAGUGGUGUUUCUUGCCAAGCUCCUUAAAUGGGUCAACAAAACUGACGAUGAAAGGGAAUUUAAUACAAACGGCAGAACUGGGGAAACUUUUAAGGUGGUAGCUUACGGAUUUUGGUAUCAAGCAUAACAUUUUGAGGCGUCUGCAUGGCAUCAUAUGGAUGUAAGAUUAUUGUUGUUCCAUCAACAUGGCAAGCACAAGAGACACUGAAAAUUCAACCAGGUGGCGUUUUCUUCAGCAGUGGCCCGGGAGACCCCUCAGCUCUAGCAUAUUUUGUUGAUACAGUGAAGGAAUUAAUUGGACAGACCCGAUAUUGGAGAUCCCUCAGCUGUACCAACUGCCGGGUCAAGCAUUGGGUGGUAAAACUUAUAAAAUCAAGUUUGAUCAUCAUGGAGAAAAUCACCCUGUUCGUAAUAUAAGAAAUGGCCAGGUUGAAAUUAGCGCACAGGUUUUCAAAACUCCAAGGGAGGGGUCCUUUACCAAAGAGGAGUUGGAUGAAGUUCGAGACAAGUGGGCUACUUACUUCAACGAUUGUGAACUACCCUCAGUGUAAUAAAUAGAGCAGGCUUGUAGUUAUCCGUUACUCUUACAUUAUUUUGUUAUUUAUCGAUUUAAUUAAUUACAUUUGAAUUAAUUCGGUAAUAUUAUUGGAAAUUUGAAAUUUAUAUCAUUUUUGAGGAACGUCAAGCU